GCCGGGCGUGGUGGCGCAUGCCUGUAAUCCCAGCUACCCAGGAGGCUGAGACAGGAGAAUCACUUCAACCCGGGAGGCGGAGGUUGCAGUGAGCCGAGAUCAUGCCACUACGCUGCAGCCUGGGUGGUACAGAGAGACCCUGUCUCAA
rnacentral:SRP_RNA from 1 species